rnacentral:lncRNA from 1 species
AACAGGUUCGACCCACUGGAGGAGCAUGUUUUCCUUUUUAUUUUACCAUCCUAUUUAUCAGUUUAAACUUACAUGUGGGAUCCUGGUUGGUUUAUGAUAUUUUUGUGGACCUAAUAUCAUCACAAAAUCACCAUUUAACAGCGAGUAACGAUUUCUUUUUGGCUACAGUGACAUAUUUUAUGAUGUUCCAUAACUUUGUCAGUAAAUUUGCUCGAAUGUCAAACUUUAUGACGUUUUCAUUCAGAAAUGUCAUAGAUCUAUGAUGAGAACAAAUGUG